UGCUGAGACAUGGUUGGAUGUUUUGGCAUGGAAGUUCAGAAACGUUUCUGCAUUGUAAUUCGGUUACAUAGAAUAAAAUAGACAUAGCCUGGAUGCUUCUUGUAGAAGCAUACUUUCCUUACUGAACAACUCCUCCUCAUGCCACUGGAGAAGAGCUCUCGAGACUUAGUUUGACGUUUAUAUAUGAGGCCCGGACCGCCAGGACCACCAGGGCCAGGAGGGCCGCCAGGAUGGGGUCCUCCACCGCCAGGGCCGCCCAGUCUCUUUGGUGGCUGCUGCGACUUUAUUGGUUCCUGCUUGAGCUUUCUGUGCUGUUGCUGGCUGUUUCAAGAUUGCUUUGGUGGGCCCUUCGGCCCACCUGGGCCGCCUGGUCCACCCGGCCCACCAGGCCCUCCACCUCCUUGAAGGACAUCUCACUGUCACAGAUGAACAGCUGCAAAUGAAUUCUUGGGGUUUCAUCCACAUAGAAAUUAAUGAUGCAUUAUUAUUCAGGAUAUUUUGAUGUGGAAAAUAAAAAAGGACAUUUAAUUUGUGUUGCUGCUUGAAUACUUGUCCUUGUACGACCAUAUAUGAAGGUUAAUAGACAAAAAGAACUUGCAUUGUUUGUGCAUUCCACCUGCA